AAAACGUUUUGGCAGUUCAUAUUGAAUAAAUUUCAUAAAAUAUAUGAUACAAAGUGUCUCCUCAACUCAGCUAUGGAUUUGUGAGAUAUGAAAUCCAAAAUUCGAAAAAUAAGAAAGUAAUAAGAGAAUAUUCAAAAUCAUUUUCUUGAUAAAUAUGUCAAAUCCAUUAUAUCUGUCCAUUGGAAUUCUGGGGAAGGUGGAAGAGGUGCACUUUGGAUGCUCUGGCUGGGUGAUUGAGGAGGUGCACUAACACCAGGUGCCAUUGUUGGCAUUAGGCAGUCAUAUCAGCUGAUUGUACUUGAGUUGCAGCAACUGCAUGGAAAUGAGCGUGUGAAACAGGAUAUGGGGUGGCAGCAGUCCAAACACCAGGGGCUGCAGCAUUAUGAAGUCUCAUUCCUUGGCCUCUCAUCAUCGA